UCAACACGUGAUUAAGACUGUGCCUAAUUUC
rnacentral:piRNA from 1 species